rnacentral:rRNA from 1 species
CACGUAGGGGGCAAGCGUUGUCCGGAUUCAUUGGGCGUAAAGAGCUCGUAGGCGGCUCGGUAAGUCGGGUGUGAAACCUCUGGGCUCAACCCAGAGACGCCACCUGAUACUGCCGUGGCUAGAGUCCAGCAGGGGAGCGUGGAAUUCCCGGUGUAGCGGUGAAAUGCGCAGAUAUCGGGAGGAACACCAGCGGCGAAGGCGGCGCUCUGGGCUGGUACUGACGCUGAGGAGCGAAAGCGUGGGUAGCGAACAGGAUUAGAUACCCUGGUAGUCCACGCCGUAAACGUUGGGCACUAGGUGUGGGACCCUUCCAACGGGUUCUGUGCCGCAGCUAACGCAUUAAGUGCCCCGCCUGGGGAGUACGGCCGCAAGGCUAAA